GGUGAAGAUGAUGACGGUAACCAGAGAAGAAGCCCCGGCUAACUUCGUGCCAGCAGCCGCGGUAAUACGAAGGGGGCGAGCGUUGUUCGGAAUUACUGGGCGUA
rnacentral:rRNA from 1 species